UACGUAGGGACCGAGCGUUGUCCGGAAUCAUUGGGCGUAAAGAGCUUGUAGGCGGUUUGUCGCGUCUGCCGUGAAAAUCCGGGGCUCAACCCCGGACUUGCGGUGGGUACGGGCAGACUAGAGUGUGGUAGGGGAGACUGGAAUUCCUGGUGUAGCGGUGAAAUGCGCAGAUAUCAGGAGGAACACCAGCGGCGAAGGCGGCGCUCUGGGCCGGUACUGACGCUGAGGAGCGAAAGCGUGGGGAUCAAACAGG
rnacentral:rRNA from 1 species